rnacentral:rRNA from 1 species
GACGAACGCUGGCGGCGUGCCUAAUACAUGCAAGUCGAACGCAUUUUCUUUCACCGUAGCUUGCUACACCGAAAGAAAAUGAGUGGCGAACGGGUGAGUAACACGUGGGUAACCUGCCCAUCAGCGGGGGAUAACACUUGGAAACAGGUGCUAAUACCGCAUAAUUCCAUUUACUGCAUGGUAGAUGGAUGAAAGGCGCUUUUGCGUCACUGAUGGAUGGACCCGCGGUGCAUUAGCUAGUUGGUGGGGUAACGGCCUACCAAGGCUGCGAUGCAUAGCCGACCUGAGAGGGUGAUCGGCCACACUGGGACUGAGACACGGCCCAGACUCCUACGGGAGGCAGCAGUAGGGAAUCUUCGGCAAUGGACGCAAGUCUGACCGAGCAACGCCGCGUGAGUGAAGAAGGUUUUCGGAUCGUAAAAUUCUGUUGUUAGAAAAGAACAAGGAUGAGAGUGGAAAGUUCAUCCCUUGACGGUAUCUAACCAGAAAGCCACGGCUAACUACGUG